rnacentral:rRNA from 1 species
GUGGGGAAUAUUGGACAAUGGGCGAAAGCCUGAUCCAGCCAUGCCGCGUGAGUGAUGAAGGCCUUAGGGUUGUAAAGCUCUUUCAGUGGGGACGAUAAUGACGGUACCCACAGAAGAAGCCCCGGCUAACUUCGUGCCAGCAGCCGCGGUAAUACGAAGGGGGCUAGCGUUGUUCGGAUUUACUGGGCGUAAAGCGCACGUAGGCGGAUCGUUAAGUCAGGGGUGAAAUCCUGGAGCUCAACUCCAGAACUGCCUUUGAUACUGGCGAUCUAGAGUCCGGAAGAGGUGAGUGGAACUCCUAGUGUAGAGGUGGAAUUCGUAGAUAUUAGGAAGAACACCAGUGGCGAAGGCGGCUCACUGGCUCGAUACUGACGCUGAGGUGCGAAAGCGUGGGGAGCAAACAGGAUUAGAAACCCUGGUAGUCC